rnacentral:lncRNA from 1 species
UUUAGUAAAAUAUCAUGGACCGUUUAUAGUUUUCUAUUAAAAAUUCUGUUUAAUAAAAAACUAGGGGGCAAUGUUGAGUCAUGAUAUUUUCUUCUAUUUGGGCCGAAUGAAUUGGGCUCACUUAUUUAAUUAGUCUAUUAGGCCUUCAUUAUUGAACCUUGAAAGUCAUUGGGCCUAGUCAUCGUAUUAUUUCUAUUAAAACCUUAUGAGACCGGGUCGGUUCAUUAGACUAACCCAUUAGAUAUUUUAAUAUCUAUUACUUUGACUUGUAAUGAUGAAAAAGCAUGAUAGUUGACUGCUGUAACUGCCAUGCAUUAAUGUGGAUGGGAUCAUAGU